rfam:Tupaia chinensis contig116054, whole genome shotgun sequence.
AGGCAUUCGACCUUGCUUGACUAUACUCAUGGACAGGCAGGGGGGACAGUGUAUGCAAGAGUAUUUGGAGUUCAUGCCAGCUCUAGCCAGCUCAAUCAGUGGCUGGAUAAAUUGCAACACUCCAACACUC